CUACGGGUUGCUCCAGUGGGGAAUAUUGGACAAUGGGCGCAAGCCUGAUCCAGCAAUGCCGCGUGUGUGAAGAAGGCCUUCGGGUUGUAAAGCACUUUUGUUAGGGAGGAAAGUCUGGUAGCUAAUAACUGCUAGAUCUGACGUUACCUAAAGAAUCAGCACCGGCUAACUCUGUGCCAGCAGCCGCGGUAAUACAGAGGGUGCAAGCGUUAAUCGGAAUUACUGGGCGUAAAGGGUCUGUAGGCGGAUUAUUAAGUCGGAUGUGAAAUCCCCGGGCUCAACCUGGGAACGGCAUUCGAUACUGGUAGUCUAGAGUGUGCAAGAGGAUGGGGGAAUUCCUGGUGUAGCAGUGAAAUGCGUAGAGAUCAGGAGGAACAUCAAUGGCGAAGGCACCUUUCUGGGGCAACACUGACGCUGAGAGACGAAAGCGUGGGGAGCAAACAGGAUUAGAUACCCCUGUAGUC
rnacentral:rRNA from 1 species